rnacentral:rRNA from 1 species
AUUGAACGCUGGCGGCAGGCUUAACACAUGCAAGUCGAGCGGGGUGAUGGUGCUUGCACUAUCACUUAGCGGCGGACGGGUGAGUAAUGCUUAGGAAUCUGCCUAUUAGUGGGGGACAACAUCUCGAAAGGGAUGCUAAUACCGCAUACGUCCUACGGGAGAAAGCAGGGGAUCACUUGUGACCUUGCGCUAAUAGAUGAACCUAAGUCGGAUUAGCUAGUUGGUGGGGUAAAGGCCUACCAAGGCGACGAUCUGUAGCGGGUCUGAGAGGAUGAUCCGACACACUGGGACAGAGACACGGCCCAGAAUCCUACGGGAGGCAGCAGUGGGGAAUAUUGGACAAUGGGGGGAACCCUGAUCCAGCCAUGCCGCGUGUGUGAAGAAGGCCUUAUGGUUGUAAAGCACUUGAAGCGAGGAGGAGGCUCUUUUGGUUAAUACCCAAGAUGAGUGGACGUUACUCGCAGAAUAAGCACCGGCUAACUCUGUGCCAGCCGCCGCGGUAA